rnacentral:rRNA from 1 species
UACGGAGGGUGCAAGCGUUAUCCGGAUUCACUGGGUUUAAAGGGUGCGUAGGUGGGUUGGUAAGUCAGUGGUGAAAUCUCCGGGCUUAACCUGGAAACUGCCAUUGAUACUAUCAAUCUUGAAUACCUUGGAGGUGAGCGGAAUAUGUCAUGUAGCGGUGAAAUGCUUAGAUAUGACAUAGAACACCAAUUGCGAAGGCAGCUCACUACACGGUCAUUGACACUGAGGCACGAAAGCUAGGGGAGCGAAUGGG